rnacentral:rRNA from 1 species
CAACUCGGCUGCAUGAAGCUGGAAUCGCUAGUAAUCGCGGAUCAGAAUGCCGCGGUGAAUACGUUCCCGGGUCUUGUACACACCGCCCGUCACACCAUGGGAGCCGGAAACGCCCGAAGCCAGCGGCCCAACCGCAAGGGGGGAGCUGUCGAAGGCGGGUCCGGUGACCGGGGUGAAGUCGUAACAAGGUAAC